rnacentral:rRNA from 1 species
GCAAAUGUAACUUUCAGUUUGAUACCCCGAAACCAAGCGAGCUACUUCAGAACAGCCAAAAGGGCCAACCCGUCUCUGUUGCAAAAGAGUGGGAAGAUUCUCAAGUAGAGGUGACAAGCCUACCGAGCUUGGAGAUAGCUGGUUGUUCAGAAAAAGAGUUUUAGCUCUACCUUAAGUUUUCUCAUUAAACUAAACAAACCCCAAAACUUAAGAGCUAUUCAAAUAAGGCACAGCUUAUUUGAAAUAGGGCACAGCCUACAACAUAGGGUAAACAAGAGUAACUUAAAUAAAGUAGGCCUAAAAGCAGCCACCUUUAAAAAAGCGUCAAAGCUUAACCACUCCCUACUCACAAUACCUUAAAUUUUCACUAACCCCUCACUAUUACUGAAUAAUUUUAUAAUUAUAUAAAAGCUAUCAUGCUAGAACUAGUAACAAGAAAUUGCCUUUCUCCUAAAUGUAAACAUAAACCAAAAUAGACUAUCUAUUGGUUAUUAACGUAAAUGCCAAAUUAUAGCAACAUCCUCCAGAAAAUCCUAUAGCCCCCAACGUUAACCUUACACUAGAACAUUUCAGGAAAGAUUUAAAGAAAAAGAAGGAACUCGGCAAAUUUUAGCCUCGCCUGUU